rnacentral:lncRNA from 1 species
UGCACUCAACAAAUCUGAAAUUUGAUAGAAAAAAUAAUAAUAAGAUGUUUACAAAGGGUGGCUGGCCAAUGCUUAUAUAGGCCUCCAACAAAUCCUAAUCUAAUUAGAAAACUUAAAAAUUUAAACUUAAUUAAAAAAAACAAAGGAAAAUUCGGCCAUGCAUCCUAUUGGGCUGUUUUGGGCCGAAUUUAACAUGUGAUAUUCCUAAAACUUAAAAAUUAACUUAAACAACU